GACACAUUGUCCUUCAGAGAAGGAGGAUGGGAAGCCACAAGGAAUCAUGACCAUGUCCUGAGAAACCCCUUGGGCCCAGAAGAAAUCCAGAGUUGGAGUAGAAGUCUAGCUGGCAGCUGGUCGCCUGCACUGUGCUUGGAUAGGGGCAGAAAGCAGCUGCAGAUGGACUCGAGGUCCGUUCUCAGAAGGAAGACUUUAUGAGCAUCAUCUGCUGGUGACUCUCGAGGUGACCUGUGAACGUGACCCUGCCUGGGUGUGUCUCCAUCCUCCCAGAGAUGGACUCAUGGACUCAGGGGAGGAUGUGGCCUAGAAGGUGGCCUUCCAGGGCCAGAACUGUGUCCAGUUUGUCAGAAAUUGCCUGUUGGGUUUACCAGUACUCCCAGUUAAAUGUGAAUUUCAGAGAAGUCACAGGGAAACAAUUUUCAUGCUUUGCCUUCCCGACAACAGUUACAUGAAACAUCACUCUCUUAUGAUUACUGCGUGUGCUCAGAGAUGACCUAUAGUCCGUGAUGGACUGUGUUAAUUUGAGUAGGAGCUAAAGGAAAACAGAUGCCACCAGAAGUCCUCCCAGGGCUUCCCUAAUCUGAUGAAAAGCAGGAAGUUCUGAGACUCACAGGCCACUAUGUGUCCCCUCUGGAAGAGCCCUGUGGCUGUGGCUGUGAAGAAGACACCAAACACCAUGAUGGGUCUGUGAACGAGACUUAGUAAAAGAACUUUUUCUGCCAUUAGUUUCCCCUGGUUUUCAGCCUAAAGUGAG
rnacentral:lncRNA from 1 species